CCUACGGGUGGCAGCAGUGGGGAAUAUUGCGCAAUGGGCGAAAGCCUGACGCAGCGACGCCGCGUGAGUGAUGAAGGUCUUCGGAUCGUAAACCUCUGUCAGCAGGGAAGAACGGUCACUGUGCUAAUCAUCAGUGAAUUGACGGUACCUGCAGAGGAAGCACCGGCUAACUCCGUGCCAGCAGCCGCGGUAAUACGGAGGGUGCGAGCGUUAAUCGGAAUUACUGGGCGUAAAGCGCACGUAGGCGGUAUGUCAAGUCAAGGGUGAAAUCCCCGGGCUCAACGUGGGAACUGCCUUUGAAACUGGCAAACUUGAGUGUGUGAGAGGAGAGUGGAAUUCCAGGUGUAGGAGUGAAAUCCGUAGAUAUCUGGAGGAACAUCAGUGGCGAAGGCGACUAUCUGGCACAUAACUGACGCUGAGGAGCGAAAGCGUGGGUAGCAAACAGGAUUAGAUACCCCAGUAGUC
rnacentral:rRNA from 1 species